rnacentral:antisense_RNA from 1 species
AGUGUGAGCAGCGAGCAAAUGAGCAAGAGCGUGUGACAACAGAGGAUGACAGGCUGUGAGGUUCGAGGCAGGAAGGACACACUCCAUAAGUCUCGGCACUGCUCAUCAGCCCAUGUGUCAGCACGCUCUUGCUGAUGGGAGCAGCGGGGAGAAACGCCACACUGGGAAGUCACUGCUGGUGUGGGACAAGUUACAAGAUGCUUCUGGGGGAGGAAAAUGUGUAUCAUCAACUCCUCAGGGCAGUGAAGCCUGCUCAGUCUAGACUUACACGAGAGACUACUCAAUGACUCUCACAGAAAAGAGAUCUUCCCAAGGUGACAUUUUCUCCUCCUAAGCCAAUAAGGUCAUCUUACUCACAGUCCACUUCCAGGAACUGACCCCAAAUGGACAGAAUCUACUUAUACCAUGGCACAGCUGUCAACUUCUCUUGCUAAAGAAGAGAAUAACGCUCACAAAAUUGCCCUAGAUGGUGGUGCAACUUUUUUGGGCCAAGUACGACAACUGAAAAGCGUGAACAGAGUUUUACCAGUGGGUUACAGCCCUUGUUUAACCUCUAGAAAACUAGUGACAUGCUCUUGGAGAAGCCCCUCUUACAGUAGGCCAAAGAAGCUGAGACAGCACAGAGGAAAUAAUCAAGGCUCACUUGGGAAAGCAACACAGCUUCACCAUCAUUCUCUCGUCCCUGAGAAAAUAAAUCAAACCAAACAAGUAUAUCGAGCACUGGGUGUUCAAAACCACAUGAA